AGGAAGUUGGCCAUGCCCCUUCCUGUCCCAAGCUGCUGCUGGUUGCUGCAAACUUGGUCUUAGGGGCUUCUGGGGAGAAGAUGGCCAGGUCCUUUCCUGCUUUUGGCUACUGCUAGUUGCUGGCUUGGUCUCAGAGAUUUUGGAACUACCUCCCUGCAUAUGAUCCUGCUUUGUUUUUGUGCCUGUUGCUCUGCUGCUGAGCACCUGGCUGGAGGCGUGAGGGGAUCCUGGAUAGAUCUUCAACAAACAAAACCCCUUCACCACUCCAGCCAUCUUUUACAUCUGCUUCAGCAACCUUCCCUAUGUGUUCUUGCCCUUGCAUGUGGUAUUGGAGGAUGCUUUCUUGUCAAGAAGUAUGAGGAAUAUACGUGUCAACGAAGGUUCUUUAUAUUUUGACAAACCUAUGGAAAGAAGAAGCAUAAAAGCUCAGUAGCAAAAUGAAACUUGAACUUUGACUAGGAAUGCAAAUUUGAUACUCCGCAUGAACAGACAUCUUGUUUGACUGGAAAUGAUUGUGCCUCCAAUUUCUUGUCAAACAUGUUAGUUUCUUGAUGUCAGAGAGUGCUGUUCCACUUCUGAUAUUUCAGCAUCAGUCUUUUGCUAUUACAAAGCUGGUGCCGUUGGCUGUCAAGACUUUACAGUUUCAAUUGGCAGACUUAUCUGUCUUCUGCAGGAUUAGACAGAAAUAUGUCUCAUUCAGAUGAUGCUCCAGCCUAAGGCUGCACCAGCCCCAGGAAAUUUGAGUACAUUAGCUUCAAAGAAACUGUCUGCAACCCCUUCUGACAGCAUACUGCAAAGUAUCCUCCAAUCCAUUCCUCAAGCUGUUUUCUCCAUCUCUUAAAUAUUUACUUUUUGGACUGCUUCAUGAUCUGUUUUGGCUCUAUUAAAACAGUUAAAUUUUGUAAAAGAAAGUGUUAAUCUAUCCUUUCUGAGCCAAUUAAUUUUGCAAUUAAUUUCAAGUAAUGGUGUUAUAAUAGAUAACUAAUGCAGGAUAAAAUAGUCCAAAGAGUUUUGCAGGAAAAAGAUUCAGAUAUGUCAAACUUAUUUUAUAAAAAUUUGUACCAAAAUUGAGAAUGCAUCUUGACAAGCUUACUUUCAAAACAAUCAACACAUGCUUUAUGUUGGGGUAAUGGCCCAGAGGGGUAAUGAGAAUACUGUCUCUCCAUUGGUUUUAUGAGUUUGACUUUCUUCAGGCGCAGGUUCUUCUGUUGAAAUGUUCUUAUGUUAAUACUGCAAAACAACUUCAAAAUAUAGUUGCCUUCAUUACUUUGUAUACAUGGAAUUAUGUUUGCUUGUUUAUAUGUACAUGCACCCACAACUGCACAUAUAUAGUCUUGAGUGAGCAUUUUAUAGUCUAGAAAACAACAUCUCACAUAACAAUCAUAGU